AUACGGAGGAUCCGAGCGUUAUCCGGAUUUAUUGGGUUUAAAGGGUGCGCAGGCGGGAGAUUAAGUCGGCGGUGAAAUUUUGCAGCUCAACUGUAAAAGUGCCUUCGAAACUGGUUUCCUUGAGUGUAGAUGAAGUAGGCGGAAUUUGUGGUGUAGCGGUGAAAUGCAUAGAUAUCACGAGGAACUCCGAUUGCGCAGGCAGCUUACUAAACUACUACUGACGCUCAGGCACGAAGGUGUGGGGAUCAAACAGGAUUAGAUACCCUGGUAGUCCACGCAGUAAACGAUGAUUACUAGCUGUUUGCGAUACAAUGUAAGCGGCUGAGCGAAAGCGUUAAGUAAUCCACCUGGGGAGUACGUUCGCAAGAAUGAAACUCAAAUGAAUUGACGGGG
rnacentral:rRNA from 1 species